rnacentral:rRNA from 1 species
GAUGAACGCUGGCGGCGUGCCUAAUACAUGCAAGUCGAGCGAACAGACGAUGAGCUUGCUCCUCUGACGUUAGCGGCGGACGGGUGGGUAACACGUGGAUAACCUACCUAUAAGACUGGGAUAACUUCGGGAAACCGGAGCUAAUACCGGAUAAUAUAUUGAACCGCAUGGUUCAAUAGUGAAAGACGGUUUUGCUGUCACUUAUAGAUGGAUCCGCGCCGCAUGAGCUAGUUGGUAAGGUAACGGCUUACCAAGGCGACGAUGCGUAGCCGACCUGAGAGGGGGAUCGGCCACACUGGAACUGAGACACGGUCCAGACUCCUACGGGAGGCAGCAGUAGGGAAUCUUACGCAAUGGGCGAAAGCAUGACGGAGCAACGCCACGUGAGUGAUGAAGGUCUUCGGAUCGUAAAACUCUGUUAUUAGGGAAGAACAAAUGUGUAAGUAACUAUGCACGUCUUGACGGUACCUAAUCAGAAAGCCACGGCUAACUACGUG